GAUGAACGCUGGCGGCGUGCCUAAUACAUGCAAGUCGAGCGAAUGGAUUAAGAGCUUGCUCUUAUGAAGUUAGCGGCGGACGGGUGAGUAACACGUGGGUAACCUGCCCAUAAGACUGGGAUAACUCCGGGAAACCGGGGCUAAUACCGGAUAACAUUUUGAACCGCAUGGUUCGAAAUUGAAAGGCGGCUUCGGCUGUCACUUAUGGAUGGACCCGCGUCGCAUUAGCUAGUUGGUGAGGUAACGGCUCGCCAAGGCAACGAUGCGUAGCCGACCUGGGAGGGUGAUCGGCCACACUGGGACUGAGACACGGCCCAGACUCCUACGGGAGGCAGCAGUAGGGAAUCUUCCGCAAUGGACGAAAGUCUGACGGAGCAACGCCGCGUGAGUGAGGAAGGCUUUCGGGUCGUAAAACUCUGUUGUUAGGGAAGAACAAGUGCUAGUUGAAUAAGCUGGCACCUUGACGGUACCUAACCAGAAAGCCACGGCUAACUACGUGCCAGCCGCCGCGGUAA
rnacentral:rRNA from 1 species